rnacentral:rRNA from 1 species
UGGGGAAUAUUGCACAAUGGGGGAAACCCUGAUGCAGCAACGCCGCGUGAGUGACGAAGGCCUUCGGGUUGUAAAACUCUGUCUUAGCUGACGAUAAUGACGGUAAGCUAGGAGGAAGCCACGGCUAACUACGUGCCAGCAGCCGCGGUAAUACGUAGGUGGCAAGCGUUGUCCGGAUUUACUGGGCGUAAAGGGAGCGUAGGCGGUUUUUUAAGUGGGAUGUGAAAUCCCCGGGCUUAACCCGGGAACCGCAUUUCAAACUGGAAGACUAGAGUGCAGGAGAGGAAAGUGGAAUUCCAAGUGUAGCGGUGAAAUGCGUAGAGAUUUGGAGGAACACCAGUGGCGAAGGCGACUUUCUGGACUGUAACUGACGCUGAGGCUCGAGAGCGUGGGGAGCAAACAGGAUUAGAUACCCCCGUAGUCC